CUGUUUCGCUGACGAGUGGCGGACGGGUGAGUAACACGUAUCCAACCUGCCGAUGACUCGGGGAUAGCCUUUCGAAAGAAAGAUUAAUACCCGAUGGCAUAGUUCUUCCGCAUGGUGGAACUAUUAAAGAAUUUCGGUCAUCGAUGGGGAUGCGUUCCAUUAGGUUGUUGGCGGGGUAACGGCCCACCAAGCCUUCGAUGGAUAGGGGUUCUGAGAGGAAGGUCCCCCACAUUGGAACUGAGACACGGUCCAAACUCCUACGGGAGGCAGCAUG
rnacentral:rRNA from 1 species